rnacentral:rRNA from 1 species
GACCUCAUAAAGUGCGUCGUAGUCCGGAUUGGAGUCUGCAACUCGACUCCAUGAAGUCGGAAUCGCUAGUAAUCGUGGAUCAGAAUGCCACGGUGAAUACGUUCCCGGGCCUUGUACACACCGCCCGUCACACCAUGGGAGUGGGUUGCAAAAGAAGUAGGUAGCUUAACCUUCGGGAGGGCGCUUACCACUUUGUGAUUCAUGACUGGGGUGAAGUCGUAACAAGGUAACCGUAGGGGAACCUGCGGUUGGAUCACCUCCUUA